UACGGUCAUAUCACUUUGAAACACAGGUUCCUGUAUGAUCACCAAAGUUAAGCAACAUCGGGCAUGGUCAGUCACUUGAUGGGAGAUUGCUUGGGAAUGUCAGGUGC